AGCAUAUCAAUAAGCGGAGGAAAAGAAACUAACAAGGAUUCCCCUAGUAACUGCGAGUGAAGCGGGAAAAGCUCAAAUUUAAAAUCUGGCUGUCUCUGACUGUCCGAGUUGUAAUCUAGAGAAGUGUUAUCCGCGCUGGACCGUGUACAAGUCUCCUGGAAUGGAGCGUCAUAGAGGGUGAGAAUCCCGUCUUUGACACGGACUGCCAGGGCUUUUGUGAUGCGCUCUCAAAGAGUCGAGUUGUUUGGGAAUGCAGCUCAAAAUGGGUGGUAAAUUCCAUCUAAAGCUAAAUAUUGGCGAGAGACCGAUAGCGAACAAGUACCGUGAGGGAAAGAUGAAAAGAACUUUGGAAAGAGAGUUAAACAGUACGUGAAAUUGCUGAAAGGGAAACGCUUGAAGUCAGUCGCGUUGUCCAGGGAUCAACCUUGCUUCUGCUUGGUGCACUUUCUGGUCGACGGGUCAGCAUCAAUUUUGAUCAUUGGAGAAAGAUUAGGGGAAUGUGGCAUCUUUGGAUGUGUUAUAGCCCUUGGUUGCAUACAAUGGUUGGGAUUGAGGAACUCAGCACGCCGCAAGGCCGGGGUUUUACCACGUACGUGCUUAGGAUGCUGGCAUAAUGGCUUUAAUCGACCCGUCUUGAAACACGGACCAAGGAGUCUAACAUGCCUGCGAGUGUUUGGGUGGAAAACCCGAGCGCGUAAUGAAAGUGAAAGUUGAGAUCCCUGUCGUGGGGAGCAUCGACGCCCGGACCAGACCUUUUGUGACGGAUCCGCGGUAGAGCAUGUAUGUUGGGACCCGAAAGAUGGUGAACUAUGCCUGAAUAGGGUGAAGCCAGAGGAAACUCUGGUGGAGGCUCGUAGCGAUUCUGACGUGCAAAUCGAUCGUCAAAUUUGGGUAUAGGGGCGAAAGACUAAUCGAACCAUCUAGUAGCUG
rnacentral:rRNA from 1 species